rnacentral:misc_RNA from 1 species
CCUUAGCCCCGAUUGCAGCAUUUGUUUGAGCUCAUUUUUUUUGUUUCGCUGCGGUCUCGUCUUCGACGAGACCGCAGCGAAACAAAAAAAAUAGCGAGUGCGGAAAGCGGGAUAAAGC